rnacentral:misc_RNA from 1 species
UUCCCAGGUGGCUUUGAGAAGUUAAAUGUAAUCCUCAAGUUGCUGCUUUCAAAUGCAACUAUAGAUGGAUAAACUUGGCCAUUAUCCUCAUGCUUUAAUGGGCUAGGGGCAAAGCCAUCCAACAAAUCUUAUCAUGGAAGAAGCUCCAACAGAAGAAUUGGCUUGUGCUGAAGCUAAAGGUGAUGAGAGUACAUCUAAUGCGGCAAUUGGUUUUUGGUUAUCUUGACCAGGUGAUAAUAUGUCAAGUGCAGAUGAAUUGCUUUGUACAGGAUUAGUUGUUCCAAUGGACAGAAGAUCAAGUAGAACAUCUGUGCCAGAUUUGGGAGCCUGGCUUAUGCCUGGUUGUGUGGACGCUGGUGCUAAAUCAACACCAAGAAGAUCAUGAAGAAAGUCGCUGCCUGAAGAGCCUGGUGCAGGAGCGUCAUCUGAAAGAUCAAGUAAAUCUACAAG